CCAUGAGGUACUGCAACUAGAGGGCGCCAUAAAACAUCUCUCUGCUUCAGAUGAACUGUACCAGACUACAAGCAAUAAAUAUAUAACUAUUCUGCAAAACAUUAACACUGAGGAAUCAUUAGAGCAACUUAACAAUGUCCAGCUUCUUAACAUGGAAAGAGAAAGCUUUAUCCUGCUAACUAAAGCAAAGGCAGAAGCAAAAUUAACGCAGCC